GUGUAGUUCGGAUUGGAGUUGAACCUGGCUGGAAAGAGUCUGGAAGGGAUUCGGGGAACGGUUGAUAGUCGUAGAAAGUCGGCUGGCGGCGGAGCUCAGUGAGCACUUGGGGCGGCUUAAUAGAUGACUGGGGGAACUCAUGUUGAAGGAGCUCGGGUGGUGCAGUGGGAGUUCGUCCGUCGGAGAAAUUCAAUCAGCACCGUGGGAAUCCGACUGUUGGAGAAAUUCGAAGAGAUACCAUCUACGGUCGAAAGCCGGAGGAGUCCUGGGAGGGUCAAUCCUGUCAAGAACUUCGG
rnacentral:lncRNA from 1 species